GGUAAAAAAGCUCGUAGUUGGAUUUCUGUUGAGGACGACCGGUCCGUACCAUGUACGCGCGUCUGGUUCGGCCUCGGCAUCCUCUCGAUAGACGUUUCUGCGCUUGAUUGCGAGGAGCGGAUUUCGGGACUUUUACUUUGAGGAAAUUAGAGUGUUCACGGCAGGCUAUCGCCAGAAUACAUUAGCAUGGAAUAAUACUAUAGGAUCUCGGUUCUAUUUUGUUGGUUUCUAGACCCGGGGUAAUGAUUAAUAGGGACAACUGGGGGCAUUUGUAUCAACACGUCGGAGGUGGAAUUCUUGGAUUGUGUUGCGACAAACUACUGCGAAAGCAUUUGCCAAGGAUGUUUUCAUUGAUCAAGAACGAAAGUAAGGGGAUCGAAGACGAUUAGAUACCGUCGUAGUCUUUACCAUAAACUAUGCCGACUAGAGAUGGGGCAUC
rnacentral:rRNA from 1 species